rnacentral:rRNA from 1 species
UUGAACGCUGGCGGCAGGCCUAACCCAUGCCGGUCGAGCGGAUGAAGGGAGCUUGCUCCUGGAUUCAGCGGCGGACGGGUGAGUAAUGCCUAGGAAUCUGCCUGGUAGUGGGGGAUAACGUCCGGAAACGGGCGCUAAUACCGCAUACGUCCUGAGGGAGAAAGUGGGGGAUCUUCGGACCUCACGCUAUCAGAUGAGCCUAGGUCGGAUUAGCUAGUUGGUGGGGUAAAGGCCUACCAAGGCGACGAUCCGUAACUGGUCUGAGAGGAUGAUCAGUCACACUGGAACUGAGACACGGUCCAGACUCCUACGGGAGGCAGCAGUGGGGAAUAUUGGACAAUGGGCGAAAGCCUGAUCCAGCCAUGCCGCGUGUGUGAAGAAGGUCUUCGGAUUGUAAAGCACUUUAAGUUGGGAGGAAGGGCAGUAAGUUAAUACCUUGCUGUUUUGACGUUACCAACAGAAUAAGCACCGGCUAACUUCGUG